rnacentral:lncRNA from 1 species
UUCCUCUCUCUCUCUCUCUCUUUCUCUCUCCCCCUCCCUCCCUCCCUCUCCCUCUCUCCAGUUCAUCACGGAACACAUGCAGAUUUUGCACAUAAUGUUUAUUUUAUAAUAGUUGUCAUGUCUUCCACAGAAUGCAACAGGGUCCACAGAACAAUCUUAUUAUUCUUGAGCUUCUUGUAAUUAUCAGUAGGAAAUUCCUUUUCCAAAUACAUUCAUAUUAGAUAUGUCCUCAAAAAGUUUUUUAACUUUAUGUGCAUUGGCUACUUUAUUUAUUUAUUUUGCAGUGCUCACCUGUGAAUUUCAUUAUGCAUCAUGAGUACUAGCCAUGGUGAUGGUUUAAAAUGCUCUGCUCUUUUAGCUGACGUGAACUGAUUGAGCAUUGACAAACAGUCACAACUCCAAAUAAUGAGAUGGAAUGUGUAAAAGAGAUUCUGCCACCACCUACAUUAGUCUCACAUGCCUUCAAAUUUUAUAUGGAGUACGUGGAACUCCUAACUGGAUAUAGUUCUCUGACAAGUUUUAGGGGUUUGAUGUGCAUAUAUUGGAUGGAGAUGGUCCAUCGCGAUCUAAAGAGCGUUAAUUGCCUUGUGGAUAAGCACUUGACAAUCAAGAUUUGCGAUUUUGGACUGUCAUGGAUACUUACCACUACACCAAUGAGAGAUAUAUCAUCUGCAGGGACUCCAGAAUGGAUGGCUCAGGAACUCGUCUGAAAUGAACCCUUUACAGAGAAGUGUGAUAUUUUUUGCCUGGGGGUACUAAUAUGGGAGCUUUGCACUCUUACUAGGCCAUGAGAAGGUGUUCCAUCAGCACAAGUAAGUGUUAGGUUCUCUUACAAUUAUAUGUUUCAAUCAAGUCUGAAGUAUGAUUUUUUUGCCUGCUAUUAUUCAGGUAAUUUAUGCUGUUGCCAAUGAUGGAUUGCGGCUGGAAAUUCCUGAAUGUCCCUUUGGCAAACUAAUUGCAGGUUUAUUCUUGUCAAACCUUGAAGUGUUAAAGUCUUUUAUUUGGCGUGCUCUAAUUUCUGAAUACAAUUCUUUUUCCAGAUUGUUGGGUAGAACCAGACGAAGGACCUAACUGUGAUGUGAUUCUUUAACGCUUGCUUGAUUAUGAGAAUACACUCCCUUGAUUUAAUUUAUGUUUGUACAGAAAACUAGAGUGAAGGUGCUGAACUGACAGUUUCAGAAUUUUUAAGUUAUCAUGAACUGCCGAUCAGUGACCAUCUUCCAUUUAAAUAGAAUCAUAAAUUUUCCAUGGACUUAAGUUUCAGUUUGCUCUCUGGGCACCCUGCCCUAGCCUCCCUCUUCAUUAAUAUGUGUGCUUGCGCUGAAUUUACUGUUUAAGAAUUUGUAUAUCAAGAUAAUCUUCAGAGCACUUCUUCAGUUUUAUUAUCUUCUAAUUGUAUAGCAUAAAUUUCAGUUCCCCCUCUCUGCAUAUGUAUGCAUGCGAUUUCAUUUGACUUAAAUUGGAGCUUGAAAACAACACAAUGCUUGGACUUCAAUAUUAUAAGGAGGCAAAGAAAUUUUCAAAUAACACAAUAGGGACAUGAGCAGCCCAGCUCCAAGUUUUCAGUCAGGUAUGUGGCGCCUAUUGAGGGCGUCCUUAAAUCGACAGCAUGAAUCUACUCAUACCUCUGUGCUCAUAUGAUUCUCAGGUGCAGGGUAGUAAUCCUCCCUGAGUUGUACAUCUCUGAGAUUUGGUAUUCUCAAAAGAAACAUCAAGUGUUCAUUAGCUGUCCCAUGAAUGAAAAGCUUCCUCAGGCUCAUACACUCAGCUAUCAAUCCUGCUGCAGGGAGAGAGUGUUCUCUGAUUAGCAUUCCUAUCUUGUGGAGGUCAAUAAUUGAGCUCAAUCAGAUUCGCAUUCCCAAUCUCAUUCAGGUAAAACCGCUCUCCCAGGCUUAAAUCCAUGUACCCUGAUGGAGCAGUCAGAGCAUACCCUACUACACCUCCACAGUCCACGCAUUCUGGAAAGCUGAAGGUGACACACAAGGGAGCUUAGUCCAACAGUGCAGGCAGCAGGUCUCUGUUGCUGCCUGCAAUCGCCUUCAACAGUUAUUCUCAACUCUUCCAGAACCGGGCAAUCCUCUAGUCUUGCUAGAGCCAAUGGAGUCAGCAGUUCAUCAGCAGCAAACCUCAAACUUGAUCAGCCAGGGGCAGGUAAGGCCCCAUAGCUACCAACCCAUAAUCAGUUAAGUGAGGACAGUUCUUGAUGGACAGCGACUCCAAACGUCUGCAGAGUACAAUGCCAUCCGGUUGAGAAUCUAUUCCCUUGCAGAUCCCAUGGAACUGUCCCAGCUUCAAAAAUUUAAGCCGUGUGCACUUGGAACUAAGCCCCUCCAGCGCUGACCAGGUAUCUCUAACGUUUUGGCAAACACCAAGAACCAAUUCUCCAGCAUUGGCAGCCUUGCAAAAGGGUCACUGGUUGUGGUAUGACUGAUGAAAGCUUCUCCGGGAGCGUACACGUUUUCAUCUGGAUCAGCCCUAGCAUCUGAUAGGGUAGAAAUAUCAGCGAGACAGAGGAGGGGAAGACGAGGACAGUUUGAAGCAAGAGCUCGUAGAGUUUCAUUGCUAAGUACAAAACCAGUGUUUCUCUGAUCAAAGCAUACAUGUAGCAAGAAACUCAUGAAGUUUCGGGCAGGCAGCAGUGAUAGCGCGAAACUCAUGAUCAGAUUUAAAUCCCUCAGUGGAAGAAACGGUGAGGAUAUCAUGACGGGAAAGGGAGGCUUCAAGACAAGGGUGAGCUUCAAGGGCUGGUGGGAUAUAUUCUGUCCAGGAGUAAAAAUUAGAGAGAUGGAGGAAAGAAAGUGAGUGGCAAUGCUCAAGCAGUGGGAGGAGGUCAGACCCAAAUGGUAGGCAACCGCUAGUGCCAGCGGACGAGCAUAACUCGAUGAAAAUUAGGCCAAUGAGGGGCCAGAAGCUGGAGAGUGGAUAGAUUGAGUGUAAACAUUAAGAGAGACCACAUAAAGGAAGGCCUUACGAAAGAGGACAGCCAGGAGAAGGAAGUCUAGAAUUGGAUGGCCCCAGGGGGAAAACAGAGAGAAGUCGAGCUCAGUGAUGGCUUGGAAGCAAGUUGGUAGAUGUUUCGAAUGUUACAACGAAGGGUGAGGGAUGUCCUCUUCACGCGCUCCACCACCAAGGAGAAUAUGUUGGAGAUAAUCAUAUCUGGCAAAUCAUGCACAUGGAGACUCCCCACACUUGGUGCCAUUUUUCCUUCUGUGGGAUUUUCUAUUCCUCAACUUUUUUUCUUCCGCAAAGGGAGUGGGAAUGGAUGAUGAGUAGCCUUGGUGUCAUAUGGGGAUGAAGUUCAUCAUGCAUGCAGAAACCUAAAGAGUCUUAAAGACGGACUAAGUGUUUACUUGUGUGUAAGGAUGAAGAUAAAGAUUCAGCGCGGGAAAGUAGUGCUGGCUUAGAGGGAGGAUGGGAAUGAGAGAGAACUUGCAUGGAGUUGUGGGGAUGAAGGAAAGAUACAGUAGUGGAAACUGAUGCCCUUAAGGGAGGAAAGAAGCUCAUGCAUCUGAGCUGUGCUUGUGAGGAUGAAGAAGAUAAAAAUGCAGUGGUGGCUCCACACGCAACAGAGAGAGAGAGAGAGAGAGAAGAAGAAGAAGAAGAAAGAAGCUCAUGCAUCUGAGCUAUGCAGUGGUGGCUCCACAUGCAACAGAGAGAGAGAGAGAGAGAGUAGUAACAGUAGUAGCAGAAACUGGUGGCCUUUAAGAGGAUAGGAGGUUGUGCAUCUGAGGUGAGGGGUAAUGGUGAGGACUGAGGAGGAAGGGAAAGACAGAGUCACAUAAACUGGUGGCUCGAGGGAGAGAGUCUCAAGGGAGGACUUGUAGGGUGGAAGAUAAAGAUGCGGUAAAAAGAGAGUCUCUAGUCUUUGGGUUGCCACCUGUCGCCACGGCCCACAACCCCAUCACCCCUGAUCGUUCAUUUCACUUUUCUUACUCCUUUUUUUCCCUCCCUUUUUCCAUUUCUUUUCACCUUUUUGUGAUAUUUCUUUUCUCAAAAAUUCAUUUAGUCGGCGGUAAUGGUUAUGCCAUCGUCCAGUGGGUCCGGUCCGCUCCACAUGGGUCCUAUAAUUCUCCAAAAACUCAUGAAAAUGUAAGGAAAUGCGUUUGAAAUAUGCCUCACUUUUUCAGGAAAGAGAACUUUACUAAAUGGAAGGAAAUGCGUUCUGUCUAUUUUAUGUAAGUCUCUCAAAGUAAAAAUUCUUUCACGACUCGAAUAAGACCAUUGAUUAAAUACAAAGUGAUCCACAACUUUUGAAAAUGGCCUUUAAGUUUCUUGAUGAAGUGUUAAAGAGUUUGAAGUCAUUCGGUAUCAUUUUGGGUUGCAGGCCUUUUGUUUCCCCAUGUAGCUAGGCGCAACAGAAAUGCCAGUAAAGACAAAGGAGUUCAAUGCAUGGAAGGCAUGUCUUAAGCUUCUGUGGGUAAUUUUUUUAUGAUAAGAGAUUCUACCUAUUGCAAUAUCUAAGACUUUCCUCUGUUCUCUACUGCCAUAAAGCCAAGCCUCUGUUCUCUACCUAUUAAGUUGAUUAUUGUUUAAUAUAAUCAACUUGUUAAAGUGAUACUCUUUCCUAACUAAUUAUUUGCCUUGUUUUUCUAUCACUAUGAGUUGUGGAAUCUGUCCAUGAAAGGGCUCCUGGAUGAAAAGUCAUCCCGUUUCAGAUAAGCCUUUAACCAUGUGUUAUUUUUUAUUUUUUUUUGGUUUACAACUGGUAAUUACUCUAAAUUAACUAUUCAAGUCUGGCUAGGGACCAGCAAAACCUAACCAAGACUGCAGUUCUAAGGUAAAGUGAAAGAACAAAAUACUAAAAAUGAGGUUGAGUAACAAUUCCAAUCAUUUUUACACUUAUCGAUUUAGAUAUAUAGUGAAAAAAAAAAAUACUUAGAAUGCUUUGAUAAUCAAAUGACUAAAAGCCCAAAAAAAUGGAAGUUGUAAAACUUGAAGAAGGAGCAAUGUCAAAGAAACUUAGGUGGUGUUUGUUUUUUUGACUUUUUACUGAAAGCAAUUUGUUUUCAAAAUUUAGUUUGUUUGUUUUUCUAAUUUUUCGUAACUUAUUAUAAAUUUUUUAUUAAUUAGAAAAAGCCAAAAUAUGUAACUUUUUCUAAAUAGAAAAAAUAACAUAUUGAUUUUUCUUUACUUUUUAAUAAUUAUAGAAAUAAAAUACUAUAAAAACAAACAACCUAAUAUUUAACACUAUUAAACAUUAAAAUUUUAUUUAGAAUUAAAUAAAAAAAAACAAACACCACCUUAGGAUUGAAGAAAGUCCAAAAGUUCAAAAUUAGUUAAAUAACAUAUGAUAAUAUUAAAAUAUAAUAGUUAAUUUAUGUGGAAAGGUUUAAGAUUAACGCGUGUAUACUCAACAAAGUUAGAUAUAUGAAAUUUGUGAUACGUAAAAUAUUGCAGUUGUUUGUGUAUGAGUUUGUUUCUUUUCAUAUGUAGGUAUGAAAUCAUUGGGGACGGUGUAUAUUGUGAAUCUAAAUUUUAUAAGUUCAAAUUUUUGGGAAAAUUAAUAAUUUAAUAUUAAACUUUUAGUAAAAUUGAUAGCUUAAAAAUUCUUUUAAUAUAUCAAGGACACACUCUCUUGGAUGAUUAAAAAUGCAAGUAUUCCUUAAAUUUAUACUCCCUGGCAUAACUGUGCUUUUGGCAUUGGAGCCGGAGCAAAUAUAAAGAUGGUCAUAGAGGGAUUUGAAUCCUUCCUCACGAAUAGGUAAAUAAUCCCCUUAUUACUAUUAGACUAGACAUACUUUUUUGUCAUUUUUUUGCCCCUUGAAAUUAAUAGCUAGAUUUAAGCCAUCUCAAAUCAUUUGCUGGCUUCACCACCGGCCACCGUUGGCAGGUAUCCAAGUCAAUGAGAUAUUGGGAUGGUGACAUGCCAUUUUGCUAGGCACUGGCUCCAAACCUAACGCUCAACUUGGAUUUUAUUUAUAGGUACUAAACCCAAUUAUACCCCUGCCACAAUUCUCUCCCAGAGUGGGAGUCUUGGGGAAAUGCAAGUAAUAUUGAAUUGACAUAAUCAUUAAUUAUAUGGGAGUGGUCAUUAUCAAGAAUUAGUUAAUUAAACCCAAGGUGAGAAAGCAAAAAUGGACAAUGUGGUAGCUGCAAACCUACCAGCUUUUUCUAGGCAAGGAAUGACAAGUAGGUCAUGAUACUUUGACGGAAAAUCCUUAUCCAUAACCCUCCCGCCAAAAUCUGCUAAGCCAUUACUUAACCAUGAAGAAAGCUUCAAAAGCAAAAUAUGGUGGAUAAUUUUAUUUUUUGGACCGACAUAAAUAAUUAUUGAAUGAAAAUGGUGGACUUUUAUCUUAAGCUAUGAUGUUUGUGGCUGGAGCCGAGUGCCAGUAGUUGGGAAUGGACUAUGACCUUAGGAAUGACAAGCAAGGUAGCCUAAAAUAUCAUACGGACGUGCCAACCAGUCACAUUCAAAUAUUUUUCACAUGGCAUCAACAUGCAGGCCUUGCUUUUUGCCAAUACCUUAUCAAAAACCAGCGCACCCUAACCCUUCCAAGUGUGAUCUUGACUCAACCGCUACCAUACAAUUUCUUUCGAUACUCUGCUCAAUUGCAUCUAGGGUUCCCCGCCUUGAUUCACAAAAUAGAGCACCAUGUUGUGACCACAAUUUUACCUCUAGAGGUACAUAAAAUCAGAUGACCUUCAUCUCGGGCAAUCAAGAGCACUACCCUCCCACCAACUAGUAAAACCUAUUUGACCUAAUGAUUCAAUUAAAAUUUUUAUUUGUUUAUUUAUUCAUAUUAAUUCAUAUCAGACCAUAAAAUAUUAAUAAACGUGGCAUAUUGAUAUAGGAACAGCAUGUUCUAACACAACAUUGUCACACUCUAAUAUCAGGAGUUGCCUCAAUUAUGUAUAUCUAUGGGGAAUGGGGUUUGCCAUGUGCACUCAUUCCAUUUGAUAUAUUUUAGAUCAUAAUUCAGAUCUGAUUUCGAGGGUUAGGCCAUCAGAUGAGCUCCACUGAUUUAGCACCAUUAAGUUAUCAUACAUUUGUAGCCAACUACUUCCUUGAACAAGACAAAUCAAGUUGUUGACCAGCAUCACACCUAAUCUUCCUGAACCCAACAACUCAAGGGGGCAAUCUCCUGCUGUCCCAAAGAAUUAAAACUAGGCUUGUUAACCAAAAAUCUAAACUUCCAAAUUUAACUUAAACUUCUAAUUACAAGAAUGUCGGAUCUGUUCAUUACAAGUAUAUAGUUAAAGUAAUGCUCAAAAGCAAAUUAUGAAUGCUAACAAUAAAAAAGGAAAAAUCAUAUAAGGACAUCAUUUACCAAAGAUGAAUUGCACUAUAGAUUUGGGUUUCAUACCCAACAAAUGUUAGAAACAAACGCAAUAUUGCUGCCUUGACUUUAGAUACAAAAACAAACGGACAAUAUUGGAUUCUUGUGAACAGUAUUGAAGGCAGUCGUGCAGGGAUGUAGAUCACAUGCUUCGCUUUCUAUUGAUGAGCCAUUAUGAUGCUGCGAAGAUACAUCUGUGGAGGUGUGGUCCUGUAGAAAUUGUUUUUUUUUUUGCUUUUUUGGAAGAAUUUAAGACCCCCUUUGGAAACUUUCUUAAAAGUAGUUUUUGAUGUUUUUAUUGCAUGAAUAGUUUUCUAAUUCAGAAUUUUUUUUUUUUUUUUACAAAUCAUUAAUAGAAAAUGUUUUUUUAUUUUUUUUUUUGAGAAUUUGUUAUAAAAAUAUAUUGUUAUUCUACAAUAUAUUUGAGAUAUUUUAAAUUAUUUUUUUGUAAAAUGUUCUUAAUAACAAUUGAAAAUGCUAAGUUUAUGUAUUUAUUUCACAAUUAUUUACUAAAAGGGCAUAUAUCCUUAAGGCCAAAGGCCAAUACGCUUGAAGCUCCUUUCAAUUUAUUAGCUUGUAUACAUCUGAAUCCUGGAUGCCCUACAUGCCAAGAUCAUAGCCAUUUCCAUUAGGAGGCCCAAAUGUUCCAUUAUUCCUCAUUGUCUUACCAAAUGGUCUGAUCUCCAUAUAUUGCUGACUGUUAGCUGUCUGUGGACGAGCUCAACCGACGAGUCAAUGGUCAUGAAGGUUAGAAGAAGGGCAUCACCAGAAUAAUUUGGUACCACAGACGUGGAAGAUAAAAUAUUAGAAAUCACAGAAUGACCCUCAUAAAAUCAACAUUAUUCUCCAGUUUUUAGCCUCAUUGUCCCCAUGAUUUUCAUAUUCCUAAAUGUUAUUUUGGUCUUUCCAGGAAACAAUUUCAUAUUCUUAUCAUUGAGAAAUUGAGGUGCCAAGGUCUUAGGCUGACUGGUUGGCUUGGUGCAGCUAGCUUUCUCUGCAUUUCCACCUUAUAUAGAACAGACUGAGAAAGAAAAGACUAUCACUGGAAACCCAGUAGAGAAUAUGGGUUCCCAGAAAAUUCAACUGGCUCUUGUCCUCUUCAUCUGGGCUUCACUGGCAUGUCUCUCUUCAAGCCUCCCCACUGAAUUCUACAUAACUGGAGAGGAGUUUGCAUCGGAAGAGAGAGUAAGAGAGCUGUUCCAUCUAUGGAAGGAGAGGCACAAGAGAGUGUACAAGCAUGCGGAGGAGACAGCCAAGAGGUUCGAGAUUUUCAAGGAAAAUUUGAAGUAUGUGAUAGAGAGGAACUCAAAGGGGCAUAGGCAUACGCUUGGAAUGAACAAGUUUGCAGACAUGAGUAAUGAGGAGUUCAAGGAGAAGUAUUUAUCCAAGAUUAAGAAGCCAAUCAAUAAGAAAAACAACUAUCUCCGGAGAAGCAUGCAGCAGAAGAAGGGCACGGCGUCCUGUGAGGCGCCUUCCUCCCUGGAUUGGAGGAAGAAGGGCGUUGUCACCGGGAUAAAAGACCAAGGCGAUUGUGGUAAGUCUUAACCAUCCCCUACAAUUCUUUGAUUUGAUGAUUAAAGACAAGACACAAAGUUUCCCAAAAUUUGAAGUUCAUUAUAAGACUAUCAUUUGCCAUUGUGGAUUUGGGAGUUACAUGAAUUAAAUCUUAGAUACCAUAAUCAGGAAUAGCAACGGGCAGGUUUGGGACGGGUAGCCCCCAUCCCAACCUCACCCCAUUAAUUCAAAAUAAGUCUCAUUCCCGUCUCAUUUAAAAAAUUAAAUGGGAAAGGGUGAGAUGGGGCAAGUAUGAGAAAUUCUCAUACUCACCUCGCUCUGCUUCAUUUGACUUUUUAUUAUUAUUUAUUAUUUAUUUUUAAUUAUAUUAAAAUAAAUAUAUUUUAUAAAUAAUUAAAUUAUCAUAUUUUUUAUUACUUAUUUUAUUAUUAUUUAUAUAUUAAAAUAGUAAAAUUAAAAUUUAAAAAUUAAUUUUAUAUAUAAUCAGGAUGUGACGAAUACCCAAAAAAUUCUAUCCCAUUGCCAUCCUUAGCCAUAAUGAGGGGUUUUGGUAUUACUAGGUGCUUUGCCACAUACGUUGUUUCUAGGCUUUGUCCCCCCUCAAAAUAAAAACUCAAGGAGAAUUUUUGAGAACAAUUGCAACAAAAAGGGCCCCCUUUUUAGGGCCUUUGAACAAUUAACAUGCUACAAAAAUAUGAAAUGUCAAUUAAUAAUUUGCCACUGUCACAAAUUUAUAAUUCCCUAGAGGCCCUCUUGUUGAGAUUAGGCAGUUGCCGUCCUCCUUUUUCACUUUCUUGAUAGCUCAUAUUUUAUUACUUUCCUUGGUCAACUAUAAUAAGAUAUUAACUAUUUAGUGUCAAUACUUUAUAUUUAUAUUGUUGAUUAAUGAUUUAAAUUAAGUUUUUAAGCAUGUAAUUGUAAUUGUCUGAACAUGAUAUUACGAUUCUUUUGGGACGGGUGACUCCUCACUUACCAGCUAUGAUGAAUGAUGGGUGUUUAUUUGAACUUUGACUUUUAGAUGAACCAAGAAAAUUAGAUAGGAGAAGGAAAUGACCAAACUAUCCUGUGACCAUAAUUUCCCCAGAUAAAUAAUCUAAAACUUUGGUUGGGAAAAGUUAUAGAUGGUUGCAAUCAGUAAAGGGAUUUGAUCAAGAAUUCGAAAUUGUUACUUGUGCCUCUGCUUAAUGUCACACAGGAAGUUGCUGGGCGUUCUCUUCCACUGGAGCCAUGGAAGGAAUAAAUGCCAUAGUCACUGGAGACCUCAUUAGUCUGUCGGAGCAAGAACUUGUAGACUGUGAUACAACCAACUAUGGAUGCGAAGGAGGUUACAUGGACUAUGCUUUUGAGUGGGUUAUAAGCAAUGGUGGGAUCGAUUCAGAAUCGGAUUAUCCCUACACAGGCACUGAUGGUACCUGUAACACAACCAAGGUCUGUUUAGUAAAGAAUUAUAAUACCUUUUGGCAAAAAAUUCAUUCUUCAUUGAUCUCACUUGAUGUUUGUGUAGUUUUAUCAUUUGUAUGGGUUUUCUUUGAUCAGGAGGAUACCAAAGUCGUUAGUAUUGAUGGCUACAAAGAUGUCGAUGAAUCGGACAGUGCUCUCUUAUGUGCUGCUGUCAACCAACCUAUUAGCGUGGGCAUGGAUGGCUCUGCUCUUGACUUCCAGCUCUACACAUCUGUAGGUCUUACUGCUAAUUUAUCAUUUACAUUUACGAAUCCGAAUACGAAAAUGUAAACGAUGGUAAUUUGAAUUUGUUCAGGGAAUAUAUGCUGGGGAUUGCUCGGAUGAUCCAGAUGACAUUGACCAUGCAGUUCUGAUAGUUGGCUAUGGCUCUGAAGAUAGUGAAGACUACUGGAUUUGUAAGAAUUCAUGGGGAACAAGCUGGGGAAUGGAGGGGUACUUCUACAUAAAGAGGAACACUGAUUUACCAUAUGGAGAAUGCGCCAUCAAUGCCAUGGCUUCCUAUCCGACCAAAGAGUCUUCUUCACCAUCUCCUUAUCCAUCCCCAGCUGUUCCACCACCGCCGCCGCCCCCACCAUCCCCGCCACCGCCUCCCCCUCCCUCCCCACCACCUCCCUCUCCUGGCCCUUCCCCUAGUGAGUGCGGUGACUUUUCCUAUUGCCCGAGCGAUGAGACUUGCUGUUGCAUAUAUGAGUUCUAUGAUUUUUGCCUGAUCUACGGCUGCUGUGAAUACGAGAACGCCGUUUGCUGCACUGGAACAGAGUACUGCUGCCCCAGUGACUACCCCAUUUGCGAUGUGGAAGAAGGCCUAUGUCUCAAGGUAUAUAUGACUAUCCCAUCAGUGUUUCUGCUUUUGUUCUUGGGAACGUUAUAAUUCACCUUAUCUGUUUGUAUGUUUUUUGUAUUACAGAACCAGGGAGACUACCUAGGAGUAGCAGCAAAGAAGAGAAAGAUGGCGAAGCACAAGUUCCCCUGGACUAAAAUAGAAGAAACACAGAAGACAUACCAACCUCUGGAGUGGAAGAGGAACAGGUUUGCUGCGAUGCGUUGAGAAGGGGAAAGAUGAAUGAGACUUAUGAGUUUGAAUUUUAAAGAUUGUCAGUCAUUUGUCCUAUUUCUUCCUCCCCAGGGGGAGCGACCAUUACAUUGUCCUGUUUUGAAUGUAUGGUCUGAUGCACAUUGGACAUAUGUAGUAAGCAUAAUCAACAGCAGAAGAUGGGAAAAUUUGAUUUCUUUUCUACGGGUAAUGUAUUGGAACACUAUCUUUAUCGUUUGCGAUUGUAUUUCCCUGUUUGGUUGUUUGUCCUACCUUGCAGCACAUGCCCUGUCAUAUAAUUACAAUACAGGGUUCAGUAAUUCAUCCUGCAAAAAGGCUAUCAGGUGAGAAUUUAGAAUCUUCAAUGAAAAUGUCCCUGGAAAUCUCAGAUACAAGCCUAGUGGGCUAAAAACUGUGGGGCGAGAGGAGUUUAGCAGCUAACUGUGGCCAUGGACUAGGCCACGAAAAUAGAUGGAUUUCAUUGAGGGCUUGAAAACUGCUUUUUAAAAAUUAUUUUUGAAAAUGUCUGCAAUCUCUUCAUUUCCUGAGAAAAAAAAAAAAAGAGAACAUUAACUUUUAUAUUGUUUUCAAAUUACCCUCUUUUAUAUUACAAAAAAGGCUGUGAGGACUGAGGGCUAAUCAAUAUUUUUCAUUCACUUGGCUCGACUAGUAGGUAGGGAAGCAUAAAAAUGGGAAGAAGCCUUGGAUUGAGAUACAAUGUUCCCCUUAAAUGAAAAGCUGACUGUGGUUGGACCUUCCAUGUCCACCUAUAUCAUAUCGUUGAACAUAAAUUAUUAUCAAAUAUGACAUGAACUCAAAAAAGAAUUAGGUAUGAUAUGACUUUAAAACAAUUUGCUAAAACUUCAAUGUUACACAAUUUGUUUUGAACUUUGAAGUGAGGGGACCCCAAACAUGCAGAGGAAUUUUUGUGAUCCUUUGCAUGUCUACACAAGGAAGGGCCUGCGUGACUCUGGUGUGUGAACAAGACUGGGUUGUCUUUUACUCAAAGCUCUUUCUUAUAAUGCAGGGUAGGCACCUUUCCUUAUGAAAGAUUCUAACUUGACUCGAUUAAAGUCAAUAAUGGCGGACCCCCUAAAGCCAUGAAAAGCUUUCCGCGGGCCACGUGGACCGGACCUACUCACAUGGGUUGAAUUCCAAGCUUUGAUCUGAUGGAUCUAGGUCUUCAACCAACACUUUGUAGUGCUUUUAUACCCCAUUACAUUCUUAAAAAAAAAAAAAAAAAAAUUUAAAUUGCAUAUGAUUUUUUUUUUUUUUUAAUAUCCAUGAUUAUCUCGUAGAGAUUAGGGUCUCAUUGAUAAUUUUUGUAAAUAUACUCCAUGUACUAGCUUACAAGUUUGUAAGAAUCAUUCUCCUCAAAAUAUCUAUGACUCUUAUUUUGUCCAACAAUAGGUUAUUAGUAUUAUUUUUUAUUUCUAAAAAUAGAAAACUUGGCCUUAUUUGUUUCUACCUAAGUCUCAUUCCCUUAUGCUUUAGUCCAAUAACUUAUAUUUUAUUGUACAUUUUCAAAGGUUCAAAUUCAAUGUUCAAUAGAGACCAAUUUAAUACCUUAGAAUUUUCCAAGAAGAAAAAAAUGUAAGUGAAAAAGAUUUACACUAUGAUUUUUUGUAUUUGCAACCCUCUUCGUGUAGACUAUUUUUUUCUUUUCAUUUUGAAAGAAUAUGAAAGCAUAUUUGGACCCUUUUUUUUCCAUUUAAUUUUUUGGAAACAAAGAAUUUUUUUGAUAACUAUUUUAAAAAAUAAUUUUUAAAAAUUGCUCUCUUACAUUUGUAAAAUAAAAGUUUAUUUGAAAACUUAAAAUAUUUUUAACCUAUUUUUAAAUAUGUUUUUAAAAUAAUCAUAUUUGUAUAAUUAUUUUUUAAAACAAUUGUCAUAAAACAACUAAAAGAUAUUUUCCCAAAAUAUUUUGUAUUUUAUUUUUUGAGAAUUUUUUUUGAAGAAAGUAAAAAAUAAAAAAUAAAAAAAUAAAAAUCAUAACAUGAUAUUUAUAUUAUAUAAAUUUUUAACUAUAUUUCUUUUUAUUUAUUUUUAAAAAUUAGUGAAAAAUUAAAAUCAAGUAAGAUUUUAUAUAUUUCAUUUAUUAAGAAAUACUUGUCAUUUUUCUUAAUCAUAAGCAUUUUCAAGAAAACAAAAAUGGGAAGUAAAAUCAUAAAAUGAAAAUUGAAAAUAAGAACUUGACCAUUUAAGGGGUACUUACCAUAUUAAAUGUGGGUCGGUCCCUCAUUUAAAUAUUCUACUUCCCCCAACCGCAUCUAUGUCCGUGACCAACCCCCCUGAUUCCUCUCUUUUCCUUUUUAUAUUAUUAUGCUUGCUUUAUCAUACCUUAUCAAAUUUAUAGUAAUACUAUCUAUUGUGAGAAAUUAUUAAUAUUUUAUUUUAAUUUAUAUUAAAAAUAAUAAUAAAAAGUUACCAAUUUAAUAUGUCGGUUAAAGACAAAAAUGGAAAAACAGGGUAGAAUGAUGGCAAGGGAUGAAUAUGGCACACGACAAACGCGUGCGAAUGCCUCAAUGGCCAAGAGCCUUAUCUCGGUCUCUCUGGUCUCUAGUCUACACGAAAACGAUUGUGAAAGCAAAAGUAUAUGUAGAGAGCGGAAUUGGAGUGAGAACUUUCUCGCUUUCUCUCUCUUCUUCCUUCUUUUUGUCUCUUUACUCCUGAAGUUUCGGCAGGAUCCCCGGCGACACCGCUCGGUACUGCAUCUCCACAGGUAUGCCUAUCUCUUGGUUCCAUCUCUUUCACCCGGCCGCUGUCUUUGAUUCUUGUUUUUUGGUUUUUAUUUUAUUCGAGCCGAACAACUUUGAAUAAUUGUAUGCAAAAUGGUGAAUCCGGCUAUUUCGGUUUCAAUGGGUUUUCAACUGAAUUUUUUCGUGAAUUUGAGUUCGCUGUCGAGGAAAUGGGUGGUUUUGGUUUGGGAUUCAAGCUUUUGAGUUACCGGACAAGUUUUUCUUGAAUUUCGAUUUUGUGCCUCUGAACUCAACUCAGCUAAAUCUAACACAACUGAUUCUGUUUUUGCUAACAAAGCGGUAUUAAUUUCUUUUUCCUUUUUUUUUUUCCCCUUUGCUUCUCCUCAGUUUUCUCAAUAACCAAACUGUACUUUUACUUUAUUUUUGGUUAUACUCCGUAGAUCAUAAAGUUAUAUGUUUCUGAUAUUCAAGUGGCUUCAUCGUUCGUUUUCUGUUUGGCUGUGAAGUGUGUUCGAAUCAUUUCAUUUGAUAGUAUCAUUAAAUUGAACUGUAGUAUAUAUUAGUUUGGAAAUUAGACUUUUCAACAAUUAUUUUCAGAUUUCUGUGGAUAAUAGGGGAUACAGAGUAGAUUGUUUUGUUCGCUAUCUUUUUUCAUUGUUUAUUGAUUUUGAUAGACUGAUGAACUUUGAAUUAGAGGAGAAGUGCGGAGAACCAACUCUACAGAGAGUUCAUGGAGGGAAAGCAAUUGAAUUUUAGUGCACCACUUCUAUCAGUGAGGCGAAUUUCAUCGACAUUGGGUUCUUCAGAUGGACAGAAAAAGAAGAUGAUUGAAAAUCCGCGGCCCUAUAGACAGAUUUCUAUUCCUUCUUACAUACCAUACUCCAGCGUCGAUCAGGUGACAGAACCAGUUGCAGUCCCUUUUCGCUGGGAGCAGAUUCCGGGAAGAGCCAAGGAUGGAAGUGAACCAGAGCCCCAGUUGCAUGAUGAAGAGCUUUCAAGCACUCCAAGGGUUCCACCAGGGAGGGUUUUUGAUGUUAUACAGAAGCCUGCAGAAAUUGAAUCUGACAAUCGGAAUAUUUUUAGGCCCCAAAAUGAAACAUCUUCCUUGGAUGAAAAUUUUACUAACUUGGAGGGAUUACACGAGGAAGGAGAUUCUGAUAACGAUAGUGGCAGCGAUGCCUAUUCUGAUGCGGUUGACUCACUGUCCCCAACGAAUUCAUUGUCUUUAAGCUGUAGUGUUAGUGGUUUGAGUGGGUCUGAUGGUCCAGAUGUCAAACCUUCUGGAACCUUCUCCAUAGAUCCACAAACUCGAGAUCUUAUGAUGAAUCGCUUCUUACCUGCAGCAAAGGCAAUGGUCUUGGAAACACCUCACUACGCUUCAAGGAAGCAAUCUGUGGUACUUGAACAGCCUAGACAGGUUAAAAGGGUGAUCAGCGAGGAUACAAAACCUUCUCUUAAUAAAUAUUCGACAGACAUCAUACCGUAUUAUGGCCAAUAUGAAGAGGAAGAGGGAAGGGAAAGUGAAGAUGAACAUGAUGAAUAUGAUGCUUCUGGCAACAUACCAGGUUGUGGAUUAAUUCCCCGGUUUUGCUUAAAGAAUUCUUUGUGCCUCUUAGAUCCGGUGCCAGGGAUGAAAGUAAGGACCCGGGUUCCCAAAUCUUCUGCCCGAGUUGUUAAAAAACUGUCCAAGCAUGCAUAUGUCAGAGAUCAUGACCGAAUUGUUACAAAGGUAACUGCUGGAUUAUUGUGUAUUUCUUUUUAUCUUUAUUUGCUUUUUUACCAUUCCAUAUUCUGGUUCCAACUGGUAUUGAUGGAUGUUCCCUGGUGGUGAUGCUGUGUACAAGCAGAAUGCUUGGGAUGCUUUUCGUCGGAACCAAUUAGAUUAUGAAGUCCAAUCAUCUAAGCUGCAUGAAGUUGGGAAUAUGAUGACUGUGGAAUCCAAUUGUACCUAUUCCAGUGACUCACAAGCAACAGAUGGGUCAUCUCCCCACAGACACUCAAGUAGCGGCGGUGGCAUAUCUCCAUACAGGAAUGAAGCACCUCACUCUCCCUUUCAUGAAGGAAUGGGGUUCCUUGGUGUACCUAUAGAAGUUGACAAUUUCAAGGCUGAUAGGUUAAUUUUUUAUAGCCAAGCCUGUAAGAACUUUUCGGAGAUAUUAUCCCCCGAAGAAAAUAAACAAGGGCCAGGCUCAGUUAGCCCCAUAGUUGAGAAAACAUUGUACAUAGAUUCUGUAGAUGUUGCAGAAUUUCAACAUCCAAGUUAUUCUGACACCAAGGAGCUGAUGGACACUGCUGGUUUAGAUUUUGGGACCUUGGUAGAAAGAAGAGGAAUAGAAGAAGCUUCUAGUGCGGAAUCUUCUUUUCAAGAUAUAAGAUGCCUGAACAUUUCAAAGGGGGGCAUAUUGAAAUUAAAAGCCCCUGGAUCUGUUGACUCCCUGCCUUCAUCCUCUGACAUACCACAUAUCAAUAGCCAAGAAGACACACUGGACAGCUUUAGACUGGAUCAAGGUCUCGAUCAGGAAUUUAGGUCCUUGGAAUUCUCCAAAGGGCCUAUUGAUGGAAACCUAAGUAUGAACAAUGAGCAGAUUCUAAAAGCAGAUGAUCAAGUUGAUUCAAAUGUCACAUUCUUACAGUCCCCUGUUCCCCCAGCCUUACCAAAGUCACCUUCUGAGUCUUGGCUCUGGCGUACUGUUUCUUUGCAGAAACCACACCAAAGAAGCAAGUUUCAUCCUAGAAAGCAGGCUCCCAAGACUUCCUCCACGGAUACAAAGUGGGAAACCAUUGUAAAAACUUCUAAGUUGCAUUAUGAUCAUGUACGCUAUUCUGAGGUAACUUCAUUGCCACCCUGAGUCUUUAUAUAUAUAUAAUUUUGUGAUCAAGGAUUUAUUGGUGAGAGACCUGAGAUGAACUAAAAAUUCCUUUUACCUUGACAGGAACUAAUUGCUCAUGUUCCUCAGCUACCCAAAACUUGAAAGUGCUAGGAUCCCAUGAAGUCCUUAUUCACAAUAUUAGGAUGUUUUUAUCCAAUAUUGUCAAAGGUAAUUGUAAUUUUCCAGAGGUCCCCUUACCCUAUUGUUCUCACUGAUGUUAUGUUAGGUAUAGUGGAAUUCAGUGUGGUUAUUUCUUAUUUUGUCAACAGAAGUUUAUACUUACUGUCCAUUCCUUCUCUUACAUCAGAAUGAGGCUGAGGUGGUAGUCAUAUAUUGGAUCAAAUUUUGUUUGUUGUAAUGCUCAUUAAAUUUUCUUGCUUCAAUCUGGUUUCUUUGUUUGCCUCACAUGUCUGUAUUUUCAUAAAAGAAUACCCCUUUUUGGUUGUGAAUGAAGAUGCUGCUUCCUUGGUAGCUUACAGAUUUCACUAGUGUAAUUAUGUGAAAUAUCGGAUUCUUUGGAGCUCUUUGCCUAUGAGGCAAUGUGGGAGAUAGUACUGUCCGUGUACUCUGCCAAUUUUGUUGUUCAAUCGAUUUUAGGCGAUUCAGAUGCUCUUUUAUUUCAUGUUAAUCUUGGGGUAGUGAAUGGCGGCGUUCUUGCCUAAGAGGAUGCUAGAAUUGGCACCGAAGCCAAAUUGAUAGUGAAGGUGAACAUUAUCCAAGAAAAAGAAAAGUAUACUUUAAGGUUACAGGGCAAACAAGGGUAGUUUUGCCGCUUUUAAUUUUUUCCAACAAUUUUGUUUAAUGUUAGGGAGAUUUAUUGGUAUAUAUGUUAGGGAAAUCCCAUGGUUUUAAAAACUGAUCGGACUGGUCUGUCCGACCGGUCACGGUUUCGGUUUGGUCCGGAAAAUUGGACCAAAAAGUGAUCGAAUCGGUAUCGAACCGCUUGAACUAGCGAUUCGACCGAUGAACCGAACGAACCGGUCGAUUCAAUCAUUUUUUAUUUAUUCCCAACAACUCAUUUUCCUUCCCAUCCCCUCCCCCCAAAGCCCCCCACCAUCGGCAUGCCUUCCUCGCCUUCCAUUUUUGUUUUUUAAAAUUUAAUUUUUAUGUUCUAUAUUUAAUUUCUUAAUUUUUUGUUAUUAUAAUUGUAAUGAUAUGUUUGAUAUUUAAUUUUUUUUAUUUUUGUUUUAUUUAUUGCACAUUGAAAUUUUAAUUUAUUGAAAUUAUUGAAAAUAUUGGGUUGAUUGACAUCUAUCAAUAGAAAAUUUUAUGAAAAAACUCAAUAAACAGUGUAGAUGUUGUCAAAAUUUAGAUAGAGUUUAUUAUUUUUAUUUAUUAAUUUUUUUAAUUUUAAUAAUAUUUAAAAUAUAUAUUUAUGACAUCAUCAGUUCGACCGUUCUGAUUCCGUCGAUCCGACUAGUGAACCGUAAUUUUUUUUUUAAAUUUUAAUAAUAUAUAAAAUAUAUAUUUAUGAUAUUACCGGUUCGACCGCUGAUCCGACCAGUGAACCAUGAAUUGGUAACUUUUCUAAUUCAAUUAUUGAUCCGGUUUUAAAAACAUUGAGAAAUCCAUAACGGCUACCAUGCCCUUAUAAAUUAAGUUUUUUUUUUUUUUUUUUUACCAUUUUAAAGUUGGAAGAAAAAAAUUUCAAAAUAAAACCCUCUAUUUUCUUUAAAUUUCUUCCACCAAUGAGAUUUGGGUGGUUUACCUAAUGGCCUUUUUGUUAAUGUGUUCAGCAAUUGGAUUGAUGAUAAUUUUAAAAUAAAUUAUUACAGAAAAUCAUAUCAGUACAGAUUUAAAAUUUCAAAAAUCUUGAAAUUGAAAUGAUCUCAAUCUCAAUAAAAAGUAAAUAGUAUUUUAUUUAAAUCAAAAGGUUAAAAAAUGGUUGGUGGUCGGGUGUGGACCUUAAAAGCUCUCGUUACCAAUAGAACAAAACUUUAAACUUUUCUGACAAGAUAGGGAGUUCUCUUUUCUAAAUUGGUAAGGUAUACUUUAGAUUAAGGAUAUGGAAAGCCUUAUGCCUUUGUAAUGUUAAAGGAAUACCCUACUUUACCAAUAGAGAAAUAAAAUUAAAUUUGUCAUUAUAUAUAUUAUGAUUCUUCCUUUUUUUCAAGGAUGUUUUAAACAUGUUAAGAAUACAUUUAAAUUCCAACAGGUUUUACCAUUUAGCUCUGCUGAUAUAAAUUGCAAUGUUACCUUGAAUAGAACUGCUAAAAGUUUUCCAUCUCUUGAUUCUGGAAUGGGGAAUAUAAACUUUGUGACUGGAUAGCAAGGGACAAUGGUUUUAGGAAUAUUGAGUUUUGGGCUUUAGUCUGUCAUGUUGCCAUAGCCCAUCAGCCCCAGCAUCAUGCAUUGCUUUGGCUAGCUCUUCAGGCCUGGCUCGUACUGGUACACCGUAUCCUGCAACUUCUGAAUACACUGGAUUCUUUUCCUAGGAUGGCAUAUUGGUUGAUGAUAUAAAUAUAUCUAUCAAAUUGAGUCAUAUUUAAGCAUGUAUUUCAAUGUACAUAGCAUGUGAAUCUACCCUAUGUAAACUGUAUGGCCGGUUUUACCGCUAUGCUAAACUAAUUUUAUUCCAACAAAAGGGAUUAAGAAGACAAUUACUUGAAAGUUCACUUCUAUGCUUUCUAGAUAUGGUCAAAUAUUCUAAAUACUCAAGCUCAAAUCAGCCUUGCCGGUGGUUGUUUGUGAAGGCCAGGCAUUUGUUUGAGUUUCUUCUUUUUGUUUCUCAGUAGGUUGUUCUUGCUGCCUUGAGGAAUACGGAGACAAAGAAAGCAUGGUAUUCAUUUCAUACUUGCUUUUGUGGUGGGUGUCUUCCUCAUUUGCACUUCUUUGGCUCAGUCUCAGUUGCAAAUCAGGCAACCAUUCCUCCUCCUUCAAUCUCUUCUCCUGAUUCGACUGCAUUUCAAAACAUAAAAUACAAAUGAAGAGCAGCACUAUAAAUAUCAUCCAAAAUUUCCAUGAAGAACUCUGAUACACGAAGAGUAGCAUUCCAUGAAGAGCCAUAUUUUCUGAAACUUACUAGUAGAUUAAUUGUUAAAAUACUUGUACCAUGGAUGACAUGUUAAAUGAAUCAGAUUCCAAGAGGUUACCUCAAGCCGAAAUGGCGGCUCAAUUUGUGGUGUGGAGAUACUGGAGAUGGUUUUAGGAUAAUGCAAGUGUGAUUGAAAUUGCCCAAGUCUUUCCUCAUUUGCAGGGCUCCAUUCAGACGGCUUCUUGCUGUAUGUUAGCGUUGCUCCAACACACCUUGGAGUAGUACAAAUUUGAUGCACUAGAGAUUGGGAGGCAGCAUUAGUCCUGGUCUUCUCCCUCCACGGAUUUCCAAUCAAUUCCCGUGGAGGCCACUUCUUUUCUUCAAGAAAUCUGCUAGGUCUAGUGGGUCUAUUUUGUGCAAUUGCCUCCAAAACAUGAUUCGGGUUUGAAGUUGAUGGCCUGUUUUGAGUAUGGAAAAUCAUCCUUUCAACCAACCCGUUGCCUUGUCCGAAAUAUUGUUUGCUCUGUAGUGCACUAGUACUUAAUCUUAACGCAUUAUAGUACUGACUGGAAGCAUACUGUUGCCGCCUAUUUGGGUGUGAGUGAAAGGCUAAUCAAGAAUAUGAAACAAGUUCUUUCAGGUUUCUUAUAAUUGAGUUUAAGCAGUUACCUUGAAGAGUUAGCUCUGAAAUCAUAUUGUUGUUGAGAGAGGGUGCACCGCAAAAGAUUGUAACUACGACUGCACUCACCAGGGUUCCAAGCUUGCUCCAUUCCACUCUUCUCCAUGCUGAAAUGUCGGCAAGAACCGGUUGGUCUGAACAAAAUUCCAGGAGAGCAAUCACGAUCUCGAUCUCUUCCUCCCAUUCGUCUAUAUGUUUUACAUAAUACUGUACAAAGGAAGCAACAUUUGAAGAAUUGGUAAGAUUAUGCUCCCACUCCUUUUCAACUUAAUCCUUUAAAUCCCAUAUCAUUGUUAUUUAAUUGAGGAUUUUUCAACUUAAUCCUCUAAUUCCAUAUCAUUGUUAUUUAUGUUGGAUUAGGUUUCUUUUUCAUGUGGAGGAUGGACCAAAUAUGUCAAAUCCAACAAAGCCCAUAUGAUAUGGGCAUUUUUGUCUUUUGGUAUAGGGUUUUUUUAGAACCCCUAAAAAGAUUCAUGUCUUAGAAUACCAAGUGAGAGAAGAACAGUUGUUGGUUUUGAGAGUAAAAAGUCUUAUGUCUCUUGAUUUUGGUUGGUCGGAUUAGUGGUCGAAACAGUCAACCGUAAGUUAUAAUCAUCUGAACAAAGCAGGAUGGAAAAGAAAAAGAGAACAUUUCUAUUAUUUACAGUUUUCAUCAAAGAGUAAUAUCUCUUUGAUCCCUAGUCUGAUUGAGGUAAAAUUUUAACAAAAUGUUCAAUACUCAUGGUAUGUCAAUCUAAACGGUUAGAUCGUUGAUCAGAGUUUUUUGAAUAGAUUAGUAUACCCGAAUAGAAUACCGAGUUUGUGACUUCUUUAUUUCACUCAUUUAUUGUUUGAUGUUUAUGUUUGUGAAGUUAAGAAUUUUUGCUCUUGAUAAUUGUUGUUUUUGAUAGUCUCUGAUUAAUGUUGGGACAAAUUGUAUACUCUCACUUUUGUUGAUAGUGAAGUUUUUGAGUUGACUUCGGUCUAGUGGUUUUUACUCCUCACAUUAAGGAGGUUUUCUACAUUAAAAAUUUUGGUGCAUGUGUAUAGUUGAUUCUUGUUGAUAAACAUUACUAUGAUAUUGUGUUUUUAUGUUACUUUCUUAUUAAACGCGCACAUAGGGAGAAAAUUUGAUUGAUCCUUCGUUGCGUGUUGAUUUUUCUCCUAACAAAGUGGUAUGAGAGCUUUGGUUGCUUCUGUUGUGUUGAAGAAUGAAUGUUAGUACAAAUAGAAUAGUGAGCUUAAAUGACUCAAAUUAUGCCGUGGAAAGAUAAAAUGGAGGAUUUAUUGUAUGUGAAGGGUUACCAUCAACGAAUGUUUGUCAAAGUAAAACAUGUUGACAAAACUGAUAAGGAAUGGACAUUGCUUUACAGGCAAGUGUGUGGGUAUAUUUGACAAUGGGUAUAUAACAAUGUGCUAAACCAUGUUAGUGGUGAGAAGCAUGCACGCACAUAGUGGAUCAAAUUUGAAAGGUUGUAUUCUCAAAAAACCGAAAACAACAAAAUGUAUUUGAUGAAAUGGUUGAUUCUUUUGAGAUAUCAUGAUGAUACUCCUAUGAUCGAUCACUUGAAUAUAUUCCAAGGUUUGAUAAAUUAGUUGGUUGUAAGGGAGGUAAAAUUUGAUGAAGAGGUACAAGGCUUAUGGAUUUUGGGCACUUUGUCAGAUUCUUGGGAGACAUUUAGAAUGUCAUUGUUUAAUUCAACUCCAAAUAGUGAGAUGAUAAUGGAAAUUGCUAAGAGUAGUGUUCUAAAUGAAGAGAUGAAAAGAAAAUUACAAUGUUCCUCCUCACAAUCAGAUGUACUAGUUACUAAGGCACGAGAAAGAAGUAAGAUCAAGGAUCCAAAAAACAAGGAAAACAAUAGAAGUCCAUAAGCAGAUUUGUUAAUGUUGAGUAUUAUCAUUACAACAAGAAUGAGACAUAUCAAGAAAUAUUGUAGAAAGUUGAAGAAAGAAAAUAAGAAAAACAGAGAGAAAGAAAAUGAGAACAAUAGCAAUGAUGAAGAUUGCAUUGCCAUUACUAUAGAAGACUUUCUACUAAUAUAUGAUAAUGAUAUGAUCAAUUAAACAUGUGAUGGGACCAACUGGGUAAUUAAUAGUGGUGCUACUAUUCAUACUACAUUUUGUAGGGGUUUCUACACAUCCUACACACCCGGUGACUUCGGAGUUGUAAGGAUGGACAACAAUGGUGUGGCUAAGGUUGUUGGCAUGGGUAAUGUUUGGUUGGAAACCCAUAAUGGUAUGAAACUAUUUCUUAAAGAUGUAAAGCAUGUUCCAAACAUUCGGUUAAACCUUAUCUCUACCAAUAAGCUUAACAACGAAGGCUACUAUAAUGGUUUUAGUAAUGGUCAAUGGAAGCUUACUAAGGGCUCUUUGGUCAUAGCAAGGUGCAAAAGGAAUCCUAAUAUGUACAUGAUCCAAGCUGGACUUUCUAAGGAUGUCAUUCAUGCUAUUGAAAAUGUGGAUACAGUUUAGUUGUGGCACAAGAGACUUGAUCACAUGAGUGAGAAAGGAAUGAUGGUAUUGUCCCGAAAGAAUCACUUAUUUGGGAUGACAAGCACAUGUCUAUAAAAGUGUGUUCAUUGCUUGGCAGUGAUGCAAAAUAAAGUUGCUUUCAAGGCACAUCCUUCUUCUUUAAAAAAUGAGAAUUUGUUUGACUUGGUCCACUCUGAUUUGUGUGGUCCAAUGAAAGAACAAACACUUGGUGGUUCACUAUACUUUGUGAGCUUUAUUGAUGACCAUUCAAAGAAGAUUUAGGCAUACACAUCGAGGCAUAAGGAUCAAGUAUUGGGAUAUGUUCAAGCAAUUUCAGGCUUCGAUUGAGAGAGAAACUAGAAGAAAACUAAAAUGUAUUCAAACUUAUGGAAAAGAAUAUUUAGGGCCAUUUGAUGAGUAUUGCAAGCAAUAGGGUAUCCACCAUCAGAAGACUCCUCCAAAGACAUCAUAGUUGAAUGGUUUGGCUGAAAAUAUGAGUAGGACAUGGGUUAAGAAAGUGAGAUGUUUGCUUUUACAAGCAAGGCUGCCUAGAUCUUUUUAAGGUGAGGCUUUGAAUACAGUGGUUCAUGUGUUGAAUCUCUCACAUUCUGUUCUUUUGUGGUUUGAUGUGCCAAAUAGAGUUUGCAUAGGCAAAGAUGUUUCUUUCGAUAGAAGGCCUUUGUGCACAUUCCCAAAGAUCAAAGGUCUAAGCUUGAUGUGAAGACAUGCUAAUGUGUAUUUGUGGGUUAUGGCCAAAAUGAAUUUGGGUACAGAUUGUAUGAUCCAGUUAAUAAGAAGUUGAUUAGAAGCCGAGACAUUGUAUUUAUGGAAGAUCAGAUAAUAACGGACAUUGAUAAGAUGGAGAAAGUAGAAUUUGGCAAUAAUGACAAGUUGAUUGACUUGGAAAUGAUUUCCCCAACACUAAUGGCAAAUCAACUUGAUGUUAAGACACAAAAUGGCCAACAUGGUGCAGGUGAUGAUUCAGAACCUGUAGAGGUUAGAAAUUCUAAUGAUGUCCUUGACCAACCACAAAUACCACAAGCUACUCACAUAGACCCACCUAGACGGACUACCAGGAAUCAUCAAUCUUUCACUAGAUACUCCCAUAGUCUCACAUUGAGGAGGUUUUCCAUGUUAAAAAUCGCAAUGCAUACAUAUAGUUGAUUCUUGUUGAUAAACAUUAUUGUGAUAUUGUGUUUUUCUAUUACUUUCUUAUUAGACACACACACAUAGGGAGAGAUUUGAUUGAUCCUCCAUUGCGUCUUGAUUUUUCUCCUAACAAUUUAAUGGAGGAAGACUACAAUCAUUAAAUUUGUUUCUAUUAAAAAAUUUAGCUAUAUAAUCAACAUUCAACAUGGACUCCCAAAUGGUAGAGCAAUUGUUUAAGAGACAUAAAAGACUUUGAUAUCCCACAUCUGGUGGGGGAAAAUUUUUAUGACAUUAUAUGUAUAGACUUUUUUUAAUCAUGUAGACGUAUUUUAAAAUCAUGAGCAUUCUCUAAGUUCAUACUUCAAAACAAAUAAUAUCAACAUACCCAUGGAUAUCUAUGCAAAGUAACUAACAUCAACCUGAUUUUUUCGAAAUUAGAGUUAUUAUACGCUUGUGGCAAUCACCCCAGCUUCUUUCCAAUUAUAGGUUUAUGGCAAUCUUCUAGAUUCUUUCCAGGUCCACAGUUAUCCCCGUGGUCCAUGGAUUCAAAAUUCCUAGAAGAUAAAAGUUGGUGUUUUUAUUCCUUCCCUUUUUCAAGCUUUACCCCUAUUCCACACAUUUCCGGUUUCCAGCACCAUUGAAAAGAUCCAAAAGAUACCACUACUUUACCUUGUCCUGAUUCAUCAAGCCUUUUACUUCGAUACAUCUGCGCAUAUUUUGAAAGUGCAUUGUCAGAAUAAGAGAAAGUAGCCAAAAGAAGAAAGAGAAGCAGCAAAAGAGAAAAAAAACACUAAAAAAGUGCCGCGAAAACAGAAACUAUUUCAGAGAAUGUGAGUGGAACCCUAUCUAGUACCUGCAAGUGGCUCUUUACAUGGGCAAUGCUAAGUCCUUUCACAUUCAUCAACUCAAGAACCAGCUUUGGAGUCGCUCCUGGGAUUCUCGAAAAGAAAGUACUACUUUAAAGCGAAGAAUAUGAUGAAUGGCAAUAUUGGAUAUUUAAUGCGAAGAAUUUAAGUUUUAUAUAUAAAUUAGAACACAAAUUUCACUAUAAAAUUCAAUAAUUUUAAUAAUUUUUUAAAAAUAAAAUUCAAAGAGUUCAAUAAAUUUUAUAGAGAAUUUUUAGCGUUUUUUUUAAUAGCCAAAUAUAAAUAAGUUGAAAGCGAAGAAGCAUUUUAUUAAUUGAUUGUUUAUAAUAACACUGUCAUUAAAUAACACUAAAUUUAUAAAAUAAACAACAUAAAAUUUAAUAUGAAAUAAAAAUAUUUUAAAAUUUUAAAAUUAAAAACCAAAGAGUACUCCCAUGCAUUAAGAAACUUUUUCAAUAAAAUAUUAAAUACAAAAUUGUAAAAAAAAAAAUCAAUAUUACUUGAAGAACUCAUGAGAACAAAAAAAAAUUCUCAUAUAUUGAAAUAACAACAAAUAAAUUACAAUAAUGAUUUCAAUUGAUUUUGUACAAUGUUUUAUUUCUUUCUAUAAAAUUUUAUCGAGAUCAGUAAUAUUUAAUUAUAAAUGUUUUUUAUCUUUUGAAAAUUCCAGGUUUUAAGAGGACAAGAAAGAAAGAAAGAAAGAAAAUUCUAGUGAGGAAGAAUGAACAUGGAGUAUCUUUAAGGUAAAACUUACUGGCCUGUCCACCAAGCCUCUCAACAGCAUGCACAAAAGAGAGAUGGAGGUCAGGAGUCCACCGGAGUCGAGGCAUUUUUGAUCGAACAUACUGCCUAACUGAGUUUUUCCCUCGACGUUUUUCCCCAGCAGAGACAUUAUUAUUAUUUGCUGAACUCCCUUCUCUUUCUCCUUCAUCAUCCUCCAUGCUCACUUCAGCUUCAGCUGCAGCGUCAUCCUCUGGGGAGUUGGAUUCUUCAUUCAAGUCAAAGGAGGUGUUUUCUGUUUCCUCCUGCUUGCUUCCAUCAUUUUUUUCUUCAUGGAUAAAUAAUCUCUCUGUCAUGGCUACUCUUGCUCCUUCAUGUAAAACACUUCCCAAUAUUGUAGAUUUUUUUUUACAGUUGCAUUUCGCUGAAAGACAUGGAGAGGAGGAGAGCAUGUGGGAAAAUGUGAAGUACAAUCAAGAUUUGAGGAAGCUGGGAGAGGAGAAAAAUAGCCAUAAUGCUUAUCUGUGGAAAUAACUAGACAAAAUUCACUUUUAGCAGUGUAGGAUACACAUUAUAUUCUCUCCUCUUUUUUUUUUUCUCUUUUUUUGUUGAAUUAUCAUUUUAACCUUUCCGUCUAAAUUCAUAUCGUUUUCAUGGAAAUGAAUAAAAGGUAACCAUGAGUGUGCAUUCUCUUGAAAUGCUUCUACAUUUAAGUGGAAGGCAUAUCCAAUGUGUGUGCCAAGAUCCAUUUAUAAUUUAGCCUAGCUCAUACUAAACCCUAAAGAGGUUUAUAUCUAGAAAUUAUAAUAGCUUUAAGUUUUUGAUUUGACCAUAGUCUAACCACAUGCACCAAAAUAAUACAUUAAAAUUGUGUAAUUUAGUUAAGAUUGUGCACUAAAAUUUGUUGUGUUGGCAAAAGUUGUAAUAGUGCUUAUCGUGCAAAUGAAAAUUUAAUGCUAACAUAUCAGUGUAAGAAAAAAUAAUCCACACAUAAGGAUAUGUGAGAUUUUAAUGUGAUUCAGCCAAUCGGGAUUAUAUUAACAAAAGAGAAAAUUAUUUUAUUACACGAUAGUGAUUAUCAUAAAAUGAAAAACCAAAUAUAACUAUAGAGCUGUGUAAUAUUCUGUGUUUCCUAAUUCAUGCAUCUACAUUUGAACUAUGAGCCCUCACUCCAUCGAAUAUUACAUAAUCUUCCUUAGGUCCUUGUGUGCUUGGUAUAUGUUUUAGAUCUACAUCUCUAUUUCAUAAAUUUUUCCUUAUGAUCUCGAAUAUUUAAAGAGAUAUUAUAAGCGAGUAUAAUAUUAUAAUAAUAAAUUAACAUAAGAAGUAUUCUUUACAAAAAGAAAUAUAUUCCAUUUUGGAAUUGGGGACACUUCCUAAGAAUAUUUACUUUGAAUCAAAUUCCAUUGAGUAAAUAUUUCAUCUUUCUAUAAUAUUCGUAUUGUAUAUCAAAUUUCAAUGAUAGAACAUUUCACUUCACUUCUAACCAAAAUUCUUUCUAUAAUCUUCUUAGACUUUUUUAGCUCUUUCAAAAAUCUUGAUCUAAGCUCUAAUACCACUUAUUGUGUAAGUGGAAGCUUAAAUACAAUUUAUUAUGCAGAAUCUUCAAUGUUAACAUAUUAGUACAAGAGUGUAAAGAUAAAAAUAAGAAUAUAUGUUUUAAUAUAGUUUAGCCAAUCACGUUUACAUCCAUGGAUACUAAAGAGCAUUUUACUAUACCAUAGAUAAUAUUACAAAUGAUAAAGUUAUUAAGUCCAAAACAUCACAUGCAUGUUUCCUUAUUUUUUAUAUUUAUAUCUUGACCAUAAGCCCUUGUUCCAACAAGUGUCACCUACAAUACCUCAAAUCUCUAUAUAGUUGAUAUAGGUUUUAUAUUUUUAUUUUGUAACUUUUUCUGUUACCACCUAAAAUAUUUAUAAAAAUAUUGUUAAUUAUUUUUCAUCUUUUAUAAGAUAUGUUUUAUAACUUUUCCCGUUCAUGACCGAGUGUAUUAUAUGUUUUCCUAGUUAGCUUUUUUUGUCAUACUUGUAAAUAAUAAUAAUAAUAACAACAAAAAGGAUGAUACUCAAUCAGAGAUUGUAAUUGCUAUUCUCUGGACUCUUUCAUCUCAUUGCUGUGGAUGCAAAGUUUAGGUGGGCGUAAUUUUUAGGUGGAUGUUUAACUGUAGAAACUUAAUGGCGAGCGCACAACAGUAGCUAGGACAUUAAUUUAUUAAUAAAUCCUUUUCAUAAAUCGAACAUGUCAUCCACCCAUAUGUAUAAAUGGAAGUAGCUUCGGAAUAAAGAAUUGAAUGUUGAAAAUUUAUGUAUUUUCCAGUCAAAUAGAAAUUAAUCAUGAUCAGACAAAAACAUUUCCAUACUAAAGAGUUAAAAAGAAAAAGUCUCAUGAACAAAAACUAAAUGUCUACUAAAAGAGUGCAAUCUAUAUAUUCCCAAGACAAUUGAGAAAAAAAAGAAAAAAGAGAAAGAAAAAAAAGGCCAUUAUAAUCAUAUGAGACUUACAUGUAUAGACAUAGAUCAAUAGUCCUAAAUUAAAGAUACUAUAUGUUCCCAACUCUUUAUAAACCACUCAAGUACUAUCUUUAGAAAUUCUGCAAAAGAUUUCGAAGAUGUAAAUUGUAUAAUAUUCUUGAGAAAACACUUAAGAGGAUACAAAAUAUCAACAGAUGUUAGUAGCUGGAAAGCCUCAUGUCCUUUUUCUAGAACAUGUUACACAGGAUGUUGCAGAUCUAGUACAAAAGUUGGGAUAACAUUAACGGAAUUAAUGCAAAAAUUAUUCAUCCUGAGCGAUUAACUUCACAAUUGAACUCAUCAACAGAUACUUGUCCUCCUAUUUUGUAGUUUUAGUGUCAGUAUCUACAGAAGCUAUGUUACUAGCAACAACUUCCAAACAAGAAGAAAGCUACUUUAGAUAAUUACAAUGUCGAACAAACAUUGAUUUUAGUUAAUAUUUAGGCACAUAGCAAAGGUUUGUCAGGAGGAAAAUAUUUUCCAAAUUGACAAAAUUCAGUGUGUUGUUCCUCAAAAUCGUCAUCUUAUGUGAUUAACUCUCAAACAACUAUUUGGAUAAUGGAUAUUUUGGAAUGAUAUUGCAGAAUUUAGGUCAAAAUCAUAUGCAGGAAAACAUAUUUAGUGACCUGACCAUAAUUAUAUCUAGUAAGGGUUUGAAGGAACUGGCAGAUAAAUCAUGUUUUGUUGCUUCUGAAAAUUCUUAGAUUGAUGAUUUGUCAAAUGAUCAUAAUUGAUAGUUGAAACCCCCCCAAAAAGGUUUGAAUAACUAUAUAUCCAGGUGAAGAAUCUUGCUAUUAGAAGCACAGUAUUGUGAGUAAAUCAUAUAUAUAAGCUAAAAAGAAGGCACUUAUACUUCAGAAAAGCAAAGAAAUUUCUCUUCCCGGACCAGCUAAUACAAACCAUUGUUGAUGAAGAAGAUGCUUUGAUCCUCCUUCCAGAUUUUUUAUCAGUUGAUCAAUCUUUAACUGUUGAUUCAGACAUAUCUCUGGACCGAUCCUUCCAUACCCACGAAAACCUAGAAUGCAAAGUUAAAAACAGGUGGACUGAUCGAAAAUGAAUCAAUCCUUGAACAACUGUUAAAAAUAGAGAGAGGGAGAGAGAGAGAGAGAGAGAGAGAGGGAGAGGGAGAGAGGAAGAGAGAGAGAGAGAGAGAGAGAGUAUUGCUUGAGAAGUUUUUGUUUGAUUCAACUGUGGAAUUAAAUUGAAAUGGCAAUAGUCAUCAGAGUUCUGAUAUUCUUAGACUUUGACGGUUUAAAAAAAAAUGAUGGGAUAGUAUCCACCUGUUCUCUUUAUAAUGAAAUAAUAAUAACAUUAUGAAUACAGCUGAGACCGGUCCCUUGGCCUGUUGUAGAUCAUGUGACUGCCUUUUCUCUUCAUCAUCCUUCUUUCACAGUUGUCCACGUAAAAUCUCUCUCUCUCUCUCUCUCUCUCUUUGGGACAUCUCCCAUUGUUUUUAUGAUAAACAAAUUCCAUUUUAUUAAUUGAUAACUUUCACAUGCAAGGUGGUCUGUACCAAACAUGGGACCAGUUCUUUCUCCAACCCAUCAAUUUUUCCCUACCUAAACCAAGACUUUCUUUCCAUAUCAUAAACCUAUUUUCUGUCACCAUGUUCCCAUUGUCGUUGUCCACAGUUUUAGUUUAUACUGCACAUGCUCUUAUGACUUUGAUACAUUGGUCUGAUUCAUAAAAAGAAACCAAACAUUGAAUAAAAACCUUGGUAUUGUAUGUGUGGGGCUACAAUGGUGGGUGAAAGUAGAAAAUUAUUGAAUCUUGAUAGGACUAUUGCAUGCUUUCAAACAAGAUGCCUUGAUCAAUGUCAUUUUUCAAACAUUUUUAAUUGCAUUUGCGAAGAAUAUUGCUUCUCUAGGUGCUCGUUUCAAUAAUUGAACUACAUUUUAGUCGGCAAAGUGGAUUUGAAACCUUGACUUCAACUUAUAGCCCUUCCCUGAAAAGUUUUAAAUUAGUCCAAUAUCAAACUACAAAUAUAUUACUCAAAUUUCAUGUAGAUAUGCAUCAUUGGUCAAACCCAGUUUGGCACCACAUAUUUCAUGCAAAAUCUUCCCAAGGAUCCGCCAUGAAAGGCCAGAGAUAUUCCAUCUUAAUCGUAAGAUUUUGUUCCUUAUAAUUAAUAUUCAAAGAACAAAGGGAUUUACCACUAGUAUUAAGUGCUUCAUCUACAAAUGUAAACGCAGUAGAAUAAAAAUAAAUAUUUUACAGUCUUGUAGGGAAGAAAAAGAACUUAUGAAGGAGUAGAAACCAUAUAGUUGGUACCAGGCUUCCAUUCAUUUGGAUUCAUAAAUAUGUAAGCUGUAAAUUGAUUGCUGAAGUUAUUAGUACUAUCAACUUCCAUGUGUGCACUGAUCAGCUGAGGGACGGAGGAAAACACACACUUAAAAGCUACAUUUGUCUCUUCGGAGACCAACAUAUAUAAAAAUUAAUUAAUUGGAUUUUAAUCAUGGUUACCCAACAAAUCUGAAAGCCCAUCAUAUUAGACAUUUAUGCAGAAAACACGGGAGGGCAACAAGUAAGAGAGACAUGUCAUGUCUCCCAUCCCUUUAGAUAUUCUCAAAUUGCAACCUUUGUUUAACCUUUUCUCCCACCAUCCAAAGGGUUUACUUUCCAAAGUUUGCUAGAGAGAAUUCGGAUUGUUUUGUCUUAAUUAUAUGACAAGUAGGGCCUUUUCUUCAGAGUCUUUGGGAAAGAAGAGGAAUCACUUCGAGGAUUAGGUUUGGCUAAAAGACACAUAAAAGUGGCUGUCAUUUGUGGCAUAUCCAUACUUUCUUUAGAGAAAGAGACAGAUAUUCCAAGGAUUGAAGUAAGAGUUUCAAUAACUAUAUAAAACUGGGUGGGAAGAAAGAACUUACGGGGUUUAAGAGGUUAUAAAAAUGGGGAAUCCCCAGUCCUACGUGCCUAGAAAAUUCUUAAUGUUUUGUCGUCUGGCGUGCAUGGGGGUUGACAUGAUCUAUUUUUUUCUUUAUGGCAUAUAGGAAUUUUCAAAGAAUUGCUUUUCUUUUCUAUCAUUUGAUGAAUGCGUGGUACAUAUGUGAAGACAUUCAACCUUGCAUCACAGCACAUCAUGGCUUUAAAAAUUUUGUUGGAGAAUAUUUUAAAUGCCCAUAAAAAAGAAUCCAUCAGCAACUUGUGUAUGUCAAUCAUUUCUGGCUAUUAUUUUCAUUACACAUGCAAAUAUGAAGUCUUUUCAAGCUCCUUAGGGACCAUUAAUCCAAAUGAAAAACUUUUUAUGUAAUUAAUUAAUUUGUAAAUGAAUAUUAGUGCUACAAAAUUCGAAUUUUUUGUAUUGAUGAUAAUUUAAUCAAGUGCUGAGAAGAAGGAACUGGGAAAGGUAAUUAGAUUAAUAAUCUUUAGACAAGUAAUUCCAUAUUUGCUGAACAGUAGAGUAUUGGCCCUGGCCCUAGGUUUUCGGAGCAUAGUGACAAACAUGUGAUCCCGCAGCUCGAUAUUAGUAGAUUCCUAAGAAAGCACUCUUACCCUAAUUAUGUUACCUAGCCAUCCUCAUAAUACAAGGAUUAGAUAUUGGUUUAUUAGCUUGUGAAAAAUAUCAUUGUUUAGGCUUAAGCAUAUAUACCUUUGGGCAUACCUUUUAAAAGGAGACCAUCCCUUCGGCCUCUUACUUCCUUGCUUUCCAUGUUGUCAGUAUAUAUUGAACCAUCCUAGGGAAUCUAGGGGCUGAGUAAAAUAUGUAUCCUAUAAGCUUAAGUUUUUAAGAAAAGUGGUAAUUUAACAUGAUAUUAGAGUUUGGUUUAACGGAAGGUUAUGCGUUCGAGCCUUUGUAAAUCUAGAAAUGGUUAUUUACAUUUAUUUGUCUCUCUAUUGCAGGUAUGGGGCCCUGAGGGAAAGUGUUAUUGGGUGGGAGGUCAUGAGUUCGAAAACCACUUCUCUGUAAUUUGUAUUUCCCCCAUUUAUUUCAUUGGAUAUGAAUUAUUGAACUCAAAUAUUACAACCUUAAACUUCUAAGAAAAUUGGUAAUUCAAGUUAGUAUCAGAACUUAAUUUGAUAAGAGAUCUAACUUAGUUUGGUAGGAGGUCUUGGAAAUAAGUCCAACUUUUACCUUUCUAUGUACGGGCAUGGGCCCUUCGAAGUUUUCACCACAAGGAAAAACAUAUAUGACCACCUUGGUAAUGUAUAAAAUACAUUUCAUUUGUUGCAUAAUGGAAAAUAACAUCAUAUUUUUCUAUCAACACUUUUAGAAGCAAUUAUACUUGCAUUUUUAGACACAUUUGACUAANNNNNNNNNNNNNNNNNNNNNNNNNNNNNNNNNNNNNNNNNNNNNNNNNNNNNNNNNNNNNNNNNNNNNNNNNNNNNNNNNNNNNNNNNNNNNNNNNNNNNNNNNNNNNNNNNNNNNNNNNNNNNNNNNNNNNNNNNNNNNNNNNNNNNNNNNNNNNNNNNNNCCCCCACCCCCCCCCCCCCCCACCCCCCCCCAUCAUUUUCCCCCUCCAUUCCUCUCAUGGAAAAUCAUCACCCCAUUGCACUUCAUCGCAGGGCUACAAAUCCCUCUUUCUCUUUAAUUUCUACAGUAUUUAUUUAUUUAUUUAUUUAUAUUUGAUUUCUCCUACACUUAGGCUUUACAUAUUAAAUUAGGUUUGAUUUUUGUUAUAGAUUCAGAUUUACAUAUUAAAUUAGGCCUGAUUACAAAUAUUGAAUUUAGCUCUAAUCGAAUUUAUUUAGAUUUAUCAUAUUUUAUAUUUGAUUGAUCAUGCUUAUAUACUAACCCUUAAUUUGGAAUUUAGCUAUAUUUACUACGCUCAUUUUUGUUUUGCAUGAGCCUAUUCCACUAGGCUUAUUUGUAUUCCAUUAGUUAAGUACAAAUUUAUGAUGCUUAAAUAUUUGAGUACACAUUUUAUUUCCCUAUUUUUAUUUAGUUUCAUUUUUAUUGGUUCUCAUAAAUAUUUUUUUUUUUUGUAAAUAUUUAUUAGGUGUAUAUAAAGUUGAAUAUUUGAAAGUACAAAAUUUUUUUUUAAUGAAAUAAAUAGUUGAACAAUCAUGUUUUAAUAAAAAUAAUAGUUCAGAAAAAAAAUUUUAAUAAAAGAAAGUUUUCUUAAUAAAAAAAAAUUAAGAAAAAUGUUUUUAGAGGAAUCCAUAAACUUGUUUUUAAUAAAAUUAAAAAAAAAAAAUCUUUUUAAUAACAAGUGUCCAAAAAUUUAUUUGUUUUAUAAAAAUUGCCCAAAAUUUUGAUUUUGAUUUAUUUAAUAAAAGUUGUCCAUAAAAUUGAUUUUUAAAUAAAUUCUUUUUCCUUAAUUAUAAUGAAAUUAAAAGUAAUUCUCAUAGACAGAGGUCUUAAAGAAUUUUUUUAAUAAGAAUAGGAUAAGAGUCAUUUUGGCAAAUUAAAGUUGUAGAAAUCAUUUUCUUAAUAAAAUUGGAUUUAAAAUAUUUUUUUAAAUAAAGUUUGUACAAAAAUUAAUUCUUUGUAAAUAAAAUCAAAUUGAAAUACUGGUGUAAAUAAAAUUGUAAAGAUUCAUUCUUUUACUAGUAAAAGUAAGUAAAAAUCAUUUUUAUUAUUAAAUUAAAAUUUUGUAAUAAAUUCUUGUGCAAAUAACUUUCUUAAAAAUAAAAUAAAAUUAAGUCACUUAUUGAAACUAAAUUGGAACUUUUUUGUAAAUAAAUAAAUUAAAAUCAUUAAUUUAAAAUUGUUUUUAAUACUCUUUUGUAAUUUCUUGAAAAAUUAAUUUUUUGAAAUAUUUUUUAAAUGAGUUUACAUAAUUCUUAUGUCAUUUAUUUUGUACAUUCUUAUAAUAUAAUUUUAUCAUUAUUUGUGUGUAUAUUGAUUUAUGUCUAUCUAUGAUUAAUUAGUUAAUUGUCACCGUUCUCUCUAUUUGUUUAGUAAAGAUAUUAUGUAUAUGGGUUUAGAAGACUGUUAUGACUUAUCACCUUACUUUCUCGAUAUAUAACAUGACCACAAAUCUAAACUUGAUUUUUGCAGAUAUGUCUUUUUUAAAUAAAGAGUCAUAUAAAGUUUUCUUUCUUAUUUUAUUUUCUCUUUUAAAAAUAAAUUAAAAUAACUUACGACUCCAACUUUUCAAAAGAAUCAAUUUUUCAUUAAUAAAAGCGAGUCUUGUUGUUGAAUCCUCACACACAUAAAAAAAUACGGACCCACAAUAUGCAUCCAAAUUUUGUACAAUAUUAAACUAAUAAUUUCAUAUAAAACAAUCCUCUUUAUAUUUCCUCUAAAAAAAACUUACAAAGCAAUAUUAGGAAUGUUAUACAAUAGCAUAUAUUGCACAUGAACAUAGGGAAAAAAUAAAACACAUGUUUAAAGGUUGCCAAAUAAUUUAACCAAAUGAAAAAAAUAAUAAUAAAAGAAAAGUGAUUGGGUAAAAAUAUUUAUUGAGAAACAAGCAUUAUUUACUUAACAAAAUGCAUAUUUUAGACCACAUAAGAG